UACGUAGGGGGCAAGCGUUGUCCGGAAUCAUUGGGCGUAAAGAGCUCGUAGGCGGUUUGGCAAGUCGGGUGUGAAAACUCCGGGCUCAACUCGGAGACGCCACUCGAUACUGCUAUGACUCGAGUCCGGUAGGGGAGUGCGGAAUUCCUGGUGUAGCGGUGAAAUGCGCAGAUAUCAGGAGGAACACCGGUGGCGAAGGCGGCACUCUGGGCCGGUACUGACGCUGAGGAGCGAAAGCGUGGGGAGCGAACAGG
rnacentral:rRNA from 1 species